UCCCAGUUAGUACAAUGGUUAGUAUAGGGCACUCUCAGUUGUUUGCAACCGGUCUUUUCAACCGGGAUUGAUUGUUCUGCUCAGAUCAGGGUUCGAUUCCCUGGCCGGGAA
rnacentral:tRNA from 1 species